CGAGUUUCGUCCAGUGAGCAAGUCCCUUCGGCUAAGAACCUCAAGGCCGACUUUGUGGUUAUCGUACCGUAUCAACUCAGAGAUGUGACAGUACGAGGAGACUCCUCGGGUGAGGAGUUCACCUGCACUGAACACGGAUUCAUUACUUCCUCUAAGCAAAUGCUGAUACUUUUGAGAAUGUGAAAAAGGAUUGAUUAUGAAAAGGCGAGUAAAGAAGAAGAGGAAAAAAAAUAUCCCAUGUCGGAGCAGAAGGAAUCAAUCAAGACAGAACAAGUAUUAUACCAAUCAAAAUAAGAUAUUGAUUUUGUAUCGUUAAACUGCGUGGUUAUGUCGACAAAGAUACAUGAGGACAGGGUAGCUACACUCCCAACAGUCGUUACGGACGCAGUCUCACCAUCGCUUACAUUUCUUCGCCUAUUAAGAAAUGAUAAGAUUGCGGUGAAAGGACAGUUAUGUAACUUUCCCCGUCAGAUCAUGUAAGCAAGAAAAAAAUAUAUAUAUUCACACAGGCAAAUCAAAUCCAGUUCAUGCUGAAGAUGGAUGUUCAUGUGCUAAAUGUGCAUAUCUGCUCAGUCAAGUUGAGGAAAUUGUUACUAAUGGGAUUGGAAGAUUAUAAUCUAUACAAAUCAACAUCCAAUUCUAAAGGAAACCGAUUUUUAACAUUUCCUUGUCGUAUGAAAUGGACAGCUCUCUCUCACAUAUCAUCUUCAGAAGGCUCCAGGAAGUGGACCAACUUUCCCUCGCAAAAGAGCGAAUCAUGUCGCCUUUUCAACAUCAUAUGGCUCAGUGCAGUGGAUUUCUUCCGUAACAAGACUUGAAGAAGUGAACCAGUGAUCACCAAAUGGUUCAUUGAUGUGUAUACAACUCAGAAUUCAAGUCUUUCAUCCUUCACCCAAAAAUGGCUUUAUGAACUGAAUUAAUAUCCACACUAACCAUAAAGUAAAGUGGAUCACCAGAAUAAGGCUCUAUGAAGCUCUUCAGCCUAACAAGGAUCUACGAAGUCUGUGAAGUGGAUCAAUUUUCAUUCUAACCAGGCUCUAUGAAGUGGAUAAAUACUAUCCAAAGUUCUAAGUGGAUCCAUUUUCCCCCUAACAAGGCUCUAUGAAGUGGAUCAAUUUUCACCCUUACAAGGCUCUAUGGAGUGGAAUAAUUUUCACCCUAUCCAAGCUCUGUAGAGUACAUCAUUCCUCACCUUUACAAGGCUCUAUGAAGGAAAUUUAUUUUCACCUUAAUAAAGCUCUACUGACUGGAUUGAUCUUAACCCUGUCCAAGCUCUGUGGAGUCCAUCAUUCUUCACCCUUACAAGGCUCUAUGAAGUGGAUCAAUUUUCACCAUAACAAGGCUCUAUGAAGUGGAUCAAUUUUCAUCCUUACAAGGCUCUAUGGAGCGGAAUAAUUUUCACCCUAUCCAAGCUCUGUAGAGCACAUCAUUCCUCACCUUUACAAGGCUCUAUGAAAGGAAUUAAUUUUUACCUUAAUAAAGCUCUACGGACUGGAUUAAUUUUCACCCUGUCCAAGCUCUAUGGAGUCCAUCAUUCUUCACCCUUACAAGGCUCUAUGAAGUGGAUCAAUUUUCACCCAAAGAACGCUCUAUGGCGCUCAUCAAUUAACACCUUAUCCAAGCUCUGUAGAGUCCAUCAUUCUUCACCCUUAAAAGGCUAUAUGAAGUGGAUCAAUUUUCAUCCUAACAAGGCUCUAUGAAGUGGAUAAAUUUUCACCCUAAUAAGGCUCUAUGAAGUGAAGAUGGAGUCCAUCAUUCUUCACCCUUACAAGGCUCUAUGAAGGGAAUUAAUUUUCACCCAAAGAACGCUCUAUGAAGUGGAUCAAUUUUCACCCUAACAAAAGGUUCUAUGAAGUGGAUCCUUUUUCACCCUAACAAGGCUCUAUAAAGUGGAUCAUUUUUCACCCUAACAAGGCUAUAUGAAGUGGAUCAAUUUUCACCCUAACAAGGCUCUAUGAAGUGGAUCAAUUUUCUCCUAACAAGACUAUGAAGUGGAUCAAUUUUCACCCUAACAAGACUAUGAAGUGGAUCAAUUUUCACCCUAACAAGGCUCUACGAAGUGAUCCAUUUUCACCCUAACAAGGCUCUAUGAAGUGGAUCAAUUUUCACCCUAACAAGGCUCUAUGAAGUAGAUCAAUUUUCACCCUAACAAGACUCUAUAAAGUGGAUCAUUUUCACCCUAACAAAGCUCUAUAAAGUGGACCAUUUUUCAACCUUACAAGGCUCUAUGAAGUGGAUCAAUUUUCACCCUAAUAAGGCUCUAUGAAGUGGAUCAAUUUUCACCCUAAUAAGGCUCUAUGAAGUGGAUCAAUUUUCACCCUAACAAGACUCUAUAAAGUGGAUCAUUUUCACCCUAACAAAGCUCUAUAAAGUGGACCAUUUUUCACCCUAACAAGGCUCUAUGAAGUGGAUCAAUUUUCACCCUAACAAGGCUCUAUGAGGUGGAUCAAUUUUCAACCUUACAAGGCUCUAUGAAGUGGAUCAAUUUUCACCCUAAUAAGGCUCUAUGAAGUGGAUCAAUUUUCACCCUAAAAAGGCUCUAUGAAGUUGAUCAAUUUUCACCCUGACAAGGCUCUAUGAAGUGGAUCAUUUUUCAACCUAACAAGGCUCUAUGAAGUGGAUCAAUUUUCACCCUAACAAGGCUCUAUGAAGUGGAUCAAUUUUCACCCUAAUAAGGCUCUAUGAAGUGGAUCAUUGUUUACCCUAACAAGGCUCUAUGAAGUGGAUCAAUUUUCACCCUAACAAGGCUCUAUGAAAUGGAGCAAUUUUCAUCCUAACAAGGCUCUAUGAAGUGGAUCCUUUUUCACCCUAAUCAAGCUCUAUGGAGUCCAUCAUUCUUCACCAUUACAAGUCUCUAUGAAGUGGAUCAAUUUUCAACCUAACAAGGCUCUAUAAAGUGGAUCAAUUUUCAACCUAACAAGGCUCUAUGAAGUGGAUAAAUUUUCACCCUAACAUGGCUCUAUAAAGUGGAUCAAUUUUCAACCUAACAAGGCUCUAUGAAGUGGAUCAAUUUUCACCCUAACAAGGCUCUAUGAAGUGGAUCAAUUUUCACCCUAACAAGACUCUAUAAAGUGGAUCAUUUUCACCCUAACAAAGCUCUAUAAAGUGGACCAUUUUUCACCCUAACAAGGCUCUAUGAAGUGGAUCCAUUUUCACCCUAACAAGGCUCUAUGAAGUGGAUCAAUUUUCAACCUUACAAGGCUCUAUGAAGUGGAUCAAUUUUCACCCUAAUAAGGCUCUAUGAAGUGGAUCAAUUUUCACCCUAAUAAGGCUCUAUGAAGUGGAUCAAUUUUCGCCCUAACAAGACUCUAUAAAGUGGAUCAUUUUCACCCUAACAAAGCUCUAUAAAGUGGACCAUUUUUCACCCUAACAAGGCUCUAUAACGUGGAUCAAUUUUCACCCUAACAAGGCUCUAUGAAGUGGAUCAAUUUUCAACCUUACAAGGCUCUAUGAAGUGGAUCAAUUUUCACCCUAAUAAGGCUCUAUGAAGUGUCUCAAUUUUCACCCUAAAAAGGCUCUAUGAAGUGGAUCAAUUUUCACCCUGACAAGGCUCUAUGAAGUGGAUCAAUUUUCAACCUAACAAGGCUCUAUGAAGUGGAUCAAUUUUCACCCAAAGAACGCUCUAUGAAGUGGAUCAAUUUUCACCCUCAUAAGGCUCUAUAAAGUGGAUCAUUGUUCACCCUAACAAGGCUCUAUGAAGUGGAUCAAUUUUCACCCUAAUAAGGAUCUAUGAAGUGGAGCAAUUUUCACCCUAACAAGGCUCUAUGGAGUCCAUCAUUCUUCACCAUUACAAGUCUCUAUGAAGUGGAUCAAUUUUCACCCUAACAAGGCUCUAUAAAGUGGAUCAAUUUUCCACCUAACAAGGCUCUAUGAAGUGGAUAAUCUUUCACCCUAACAUGGCUCUAUAAAGUGGAUCAAUUUUCAACCUAACAAGGCUCUAUGAAGUGGAUCAAUUUUCACCCUAACAAGGCGCUAUGAAGUGGAUCAAUUUUCUCCUAACAAGACUAUGAAGUGGAUCAAUUUUCACCGCAAUAAGGCUCUAUGAGGUGGAUCAUUGUUCACCCUAACAAGGCUCUAUGAAGUGGAUCAAUAUUCACCCUAACAAGGCUCUAUGAAGUGGAUCAAUUUUCACCCUAACAAGGUUCCAUGAAGUGGAUCAAUUUUCACCCUGACCAAGCUCUAUGGAGUCCAUCAUUCUUCACCCUAACAAGGCUCUAUGAAUUGGAUCAAUUUUCACCCUAACAAGACUAUGAAGUGGAUCAAUUUUCACCCUAACAAGGCUCUAUGAAGUGGAUCAAUUUUCACCCUAACAAGGCUCUAUAAAGUUGAUCAAUUUCCACCCUAACAAGGCUCUAUAAAGUGGAUCAAUUUUCACCCUAACAAGGCUCUAUGAAGUGGAUCAAUUUUCACCCUAACAAGGCUCUAUGAAGUGGAUCAAUUUUCUCCUAACAAGACUAUGAAGUGGAUCCAUUUUCACCCUAACAAGGCUCUAUGAAGCGGAUCAUUUUUCAACCUAACAAGGCUCUAUGAAGUGGAUCAAUUUUCACCCUAAUAAGGCUCUAUGAAGUGGAUCAAUUUUCUCC